GUCUCCUACAGGAUCUUUUUAUACCCUGCUCUAUGACUUCAAAACAACAAACCAUCUUUUUAUGAUUCAUCUGAGCUUCUCGUCUGAGCUGCUGAACGAAUAAAGCUGUGAACGUCUUCUCUCUCAAAACAUCAACACAGAGCGUUCCUGACCUUGUUAACAUCAUCCAUCUGUGACUGGGAGAAGAGUGGAUUUAAAGAUUAGUUUUAUUGAAGUGCUUCGAUACGAGAGCGGCUCACACGACUGAGCGCAGGCCAGUUACACACUCCACAAGAGCCUUCAGUGACAAUUUACAGUGAAACUAAACAUGUGCAUGGAUGUGUGUCUCCUGUGUGGAGUGAGUCAGUAACAUCAGGGCUGGAUCACGUGACACUGCACACAACACUGUGACGCGGUUCAACAUCCUGCAGCUCGAGACAAAGUCAAAAGUUUUAACCAACAAUUAAGAUAAAAAAUAAGUUAUACAAUGAUACUGUUAUGUUAUUUUAACAUUAAUAUAAAUACUACACUUCACACAGCUGCUUUGGGUCUGUAAUGAUGUCGGUCUACUGCAUCAGUUAAUAUGAAGCUCUUGAAACGACACAUCUGGAUUUUCAACACGCUGCAGAAUAAAGAAGGUUAUUUCUGAGGUGUAACAAACAUUUAAAGUUCAUCAGCCCAACACUCCCUCCUCUGUGUUUCAGAUCAGGAGAUGCUACAGGGGUUUAAAAACAACAAAAACGCUGCUCCCGAGCACGCACUGUGUCUCUUUCACUUUUAAGAAGGCACUGCAGUGUGUGUGUGUAUGUGUGUCAUUCAUAUCCACAAACACGAUUACAAAACACGCCCGAGCUACACAGACCAGUGAGACUCUAAUAGCUGAAUGAGAAAUAAUGCAUUCAGCUCUUCAGACACACCCCCUCAAGUCGCACCAUCAGGGCUGAGGUUCUGAAUCAACCAAUCAGAAAUAUCUGGACACCACAGGAAACUGAUUUCCAAUGCCAAGGUGUAGGAAAAAGAAAAAUGUGACUCAAAACUUUGAGUGACAUUUUCUGUAUGGUUUUCCAGUUGCGGUAGAAGUUUUGCUGAAAUCUGGCAACCCUGAACACCAGCCCACAUUAGCCUGCAUGAUCCACACCAACUCUGACUUUAAGGUUCAGUUCAUUGAACUUAAUCAUGCAUGAAUGUUUAAUCAAUAAAUUAUUAAAAUAUUCCUUCAGCACUGUGUCAAAAAUAUAGUUUAGUCACACCAUUGUGUCUUGUCUAAUUGGGAAUUUUGUGUAUGAUGACAUACUUUAUCUCUAGAAUACAGACACAUGCAGUGGUAUUCAUUCACCAGGAAAUCCUCAGUGUGUAAAAUGAACAGUGGAAAUCCUUCAGAGUCUGGGAGGAAACCUGAAGGUCCUUUUCACUAAAAGCCAGAAUGCUUAAUACCAUAUCUACAGAGAUGGCUGGCACAAAAACAACAGAUUCAAUUACAUUUAAGUAAACUGAUGCUGUGUUUAAAGUAAAUCUCAGCUGCGUUAUUGACGAGAGUGAUCAUCUUGUGUGUGAUGAUGCGUCUCUGAGCCCUACGAAGUUUGCCACGGCCUAAACCAUCACACAGCAUUGUGCUUCUGUCCUGGAUUGUGUGUUAAACAUUGAAUUAGGAUUAUAAAUGUCAUUUUAAAGCAAAGUCACAGACAUCAUUUCAGCACACAUCAGUGAUCUGCAAAUCAUGCAGCAGCUGACUUACUACUUAAAGAACAAUGUAGUUAGAGGUGUAAAUGCAUUAAGAGUAAACUCAAUAUUAUUAAAUAGAUCAAACUUUUAUACAAAUGUAAAUAGCUACAUCUCUCCAUACCGCUUCUGAUAACCAACCCCACUUUAUAUCAUAACACACGUGUUUACUGAACUUCUGUGAGUUUACAAAAAGAAUCACAGUGUACACAGCGAUCAUGCUCAACAUGUAGAACAACCGAAUGGAGGAAAACUGUCCGGAUUUAUGAGCUGAUAUACAGCACACAUGAUCACAGCAGAUAUCUGGAGAUAGAUUAAAGGACCAGUGUGAAUGUGUACAGUUAAAGUGACCUCAGGAUACACUCCAAGCUGUGUGACCGGACCGGGUGUGAAAGGGUCUGAAUUAACAUGUGAGAUUGUUUGUUUUUUAAAAAUAUGAACUAAACAGGAUUGCUGUUAGUCAAAUAUACUGUAUGAUUAAAAAUCAGCUUUAUUCAUGUGA